rnacentral:lncRNA from 10 species
CUUUAUUUUGAGCAGCUCUGUUCCUAAUGGCAACCUGGGAGGCUGGCUUUCCAGCCUGUUUUCAAGCAGUGCUCAGCAAAGCCACAUCACCGCAAGAAGAGACCCCAGAAAGCUCUCUUACUCCUUUCACCUUGUGAGGACUCAGCAAGAAGAUGGCCAUCUAUGAACCAGGAAGCGGACCCUCACCAGACAGAAAAUCUGCCAGCACCUUGAUCUUGGACUUCCAGCCUCCAGAAUCAUAAGAAAUAAAUUUCUCUUGUUUAUAAUUCUCUAUGGUAUUGUUGGUAUAGCAAUGUGAACUAAGACAUAAGUUGAGAUCUGAGUGAUAAGAAGUAGCAAAUCAUGUUAGUUAGGAGGACAGAGUGCAUUGAGCAGAGGCCUCAACUAACAUGAAGUACCAAAAGUAGAACGAAGUUUAAAAAGUCCCAGUGGGGCUAGGAAGAAGGCCAGUGGGCCUAGAGUGGGGCGGGUGAGGGCAGAAGGCAAGGAGGUAUGUGUGGAGAAGUGGCUGACCCUGGUUUACAUAGCUCGGUCAGGUGGGGGUAGGAUCAGGAAUCACAAGUCCAAGGGUUUAGCCCAGACAGAGAUCCCCUGCUUGGGGCUUCUGGGGCACUGAGUAAGCUGUGGCUUUCAGAAUCAGGUGACUGUCAGAUUCAGGGAGUUUUUCUCGGUGUGCUCAAGGACCAGAGUUUGGUGAUGGAGGGCAGACAUUGAGGAGGCAGGAACCAUUAAAAAACAGGGUCCAGCCCUGGAAGAAUAGACUAGUAGAUAUUGGAAAAGUUGGUUAAGGUCUCAGGUGAAUGAAGUGAAACUCCAUAACAAGACAGAACAGAGAGACAUGCUUCUUGUGAAGGCUGAGUAGGGGCACUG